UUAAGCGACUAAGCGUACACGGUGGAUGCCCUGGCAGUCAGAGGCGAUGAAGGACGUGCUAAUCUGCGAUAAGCGUCGGUGAGGUGAUAUGAACCGUUAUAACCGGCGAUUUCCGAAUGGGGAAACCCAGUGUGUUUCGACACACUAUCAUUAACUGAAUCCAUAGGUUAAUGAGGCGAACCGGGGGAACUGAAACAUCUAAGUACCCCGAGGAAAAGAAAUCAACCGAGAUUCCCCCAGUAGCGGCGAGCGAACGGGGAGGAGCCCAGAGCCUGAAUCAGUGUGUGUGUUAGUGGAAGCGUCUGGAAAGGCGUGCGAUACAGGGUGACAGCCCCGUACACAAAAAUGCACAUAUUGUGAGCUCGAUGAGUAGGGCGGGACACGUGGUAUCCUGUCUGAAUAUGGGGGGACCAUCCUCCAAGGCUAAAUACUCCUGACUGACCGAUAGUGAACCAGUACCGUGAGGGAAAGGCGAAAAGAACCCCGGCGAGGGGAGUGAAAAAGAACCUGAAACCGUGUACGUACAAGCAGUGGGAGCCUCUUAAUGGGGUGACUGCGUACCUUUUGUAUAAUGGGUCAGCGACUUAUAUUCUGUAGCAAGGUUAACCGAAUAGGGGAGCCGAAGGGAAACCGAGUCUUAACUGGGCGUUAAGUUGCAGGGUAUAGACCCGAAACCCGGUGAUCUAGCCAUGGGCAGGUUGAAGGUUGGGUAACACUAACUGGAGGACCGAACCGACUAAUGUUGAAAAAUUAGCGGAUGACUUGUGGCUGGGGGUGAAAGGCCAAUCAAACCGGGAGAUAGCUGGUUCUCCCCGAAAGCUAUUUAGGUAGCGCCUCGUGAAUUCAUCUCCGGGGGUAGAGCACUGUUUCGGCAAGGGGGUCAUCCCGACUUACCAACCCGAUGCAAACUGCGAAUACCGGAGAAUGUUAUCACGGGAGACACACGGCGGGUGCUAACGUCCGUCGUGAAGAGGGAAACAACCCAGACCGCCAGCUAAGGUCCCAAAGUCAUGGUUAAGUGGGAAACGAUGUGGGAAGGCCCAGACAGCCAGGAUGUUGGCUUAGAAGCAGCCAUCAUUUAAAGAAAGCGUAAUAGCUCACUGGUCGAGUCGGCCUGCGCGGAAGAUGUAACGGGGCUAAACCAUGCACCGAAGCUGCGGCAGCGACACUAUGUGUUGUUGGGUAGGGGAGCGUUCUGUAAGCCUGUGAAGGUGGCCUGUGAGGGUUGCUGGAGGUAUCAGAAGUGCGAAUGCUGACAUAAGUAACGAUAAAGCGGGUGAAAAGCCCGCUCGCCGGAAGACCAAGGGUUCCUGUCCAACGUUAAUCGGGGCAGGGUGAGUCGACCCCUAAGGCGAGGCCGAAAGGCGUAGUCGAUGGGAAACAGGUUAAUAUUCCUGUACUUGGUGUUACUGCGAAGGGGGGACGGAGAAGGCUAUGUUGGCCGGGCGACGGUUGUCCCGGUUUAAGCGUGUAGGCUGGUUUUCCAGGCAAAUCCGGAAAACCAAGGCUGAGGCGUGAUGACGAGGCACUACGGUGCUGAAGCGACAAAUGCCCUGCUUCCAGGAAAAGCCUCUAAGCAUCAGGUAACAUCAAAUCGUACCCCAAACCGACACAGGUGGUCAGGUAGAGAAUACCAAGGCGCUUGAGAGAACUCGGGUGAAGGAACUAGGCAAAAUGGUGCCGUAACUUCGGGAGAAGGCACGCUGAUAUGUAGGUGAAGCGACUUGCUCGUGGAGCUGAAAUCAGUCGAAGAUACCAGCUGGCUGCAACUGUUUAUUAAAAACACAGCACUGUGCAAACACGAAAGUGGACGUAUACGGUGUGACGCCUGCCCGGUGCCGGAAGGUUAAUUGAUGGGGUUAGCGGCAACGCGAAGCUCUUGAUCGAAGCCCCGGUAAACGGCGGCCGUAACUAUAACGGUCCUAAGGUAGCGAAAUUCCUUGUCGGGUAAGUUCCGACCUGCACGAAUGGCGUAAUGAUGGCCAGGCUGUCUCCACCCGAGACUCAGUGAAAUUGAACUCGCUGUGAAGAUGCAGUGUACCCGCGGCAAGACGGAAAGACCCCGUGAACCUUUACUAUAGCUUGACACUGAACAUUGAGCCUUGAUGUGUAGGAUAGGUGGGAGGCUUUGAAGUGUGGACGCCAGUCUGCAUGGAGCCGACCUUGAAAUACCACCCUUUAAUGUUUGAUGUUCUAACGUUGGCCCGUAAUCCGGGUUGCGGACAGUGUCUGGUGGGUAGUUUGACUGGGGCGGUCUCCUCCUAAAGAGUAACGGAGGAGCACGAAGGUUGGCUAAUCCUGGUCGGACAUCAGGAGGUUAGUGCAAUGGCAUAAGCCAGCUUGACUGCGAGCGUGACGGCGCGAGCAGGUGCGAAAGCAGGUCAUAGUGAUCCGGUGGUUCUGAAUGGAAGGGCCAUCGCUCAACGGAUAAAAGGUACUCCGGGGAUAACAGGCUGAUACCGCCCAAGAGUUCAUAUCGACGGCGGUGUUUGGCACCUCGAUGUCGGCUCAUCACAUCCUGGGGCUGAAGUAGGUCCCAAGGGUAUGGCUGUUCGCCAUUUAAAGUGGUACGCGAGCUGGGUUUAGAACGUCGUGAGACAGUUCGGUCCCUAUCUGCCGUGGGCGCUGGAGAACUGAGGGGGGCUGCUCCUAGUACGAGAGGACCGGAGUGGACGCAUCACUGGUGUUCGGGUUGUCAUGCCAAUGGCACUGCCCGGUAGCUAAAUGCGGAAGAGAUAAGUGCUGAAAGCAUCUAAGCACGAAACUUGCCCCGAGAUGAGUUCUCCCUGAUCCUGAAGGAACGUUGAAGACGACGACGUUGAUAGGCCGGGUGUGUAAGCGCAGCGAUGCGUUGAGCUAACCGGUACUAAUGAACCGUGAGGCUUAACCUU
rnacentral:rRNA from 1 species